rnacentral:misc_RNA from 1 species
CUUAUUUCCGACUCGAUGCCAAUAAUUCCAGCCAGCGUGCUCGUUGCACCUGUGUAGGUCGUCGUCGCGUUCAUUCUAAAACUGAAAAAAUUCGAUCAUUUGCAAAAUAUUAAAAACCAGCAUAUCGUACUGUCCAGGCACACAAAGUUUUAUUUUUAAACACGUAAAGUAUCUUUAUACGUGGCCACGGAACACCACGAGAAAGCAACAUGAACGAAUGUGCGAGCAGUAAAACUGGAAUCGUUUGAAACAUUGACCCAUACUUUUUAAUUAAGGAGAAAGGUGACAAACACAAAAGGAUGCUGGGCAAUAAAAUCACAGCUAUACAUAGACAAAUAUCCUACAGCGCCAUACUGCGAUGCACAGAUGUUCCAAAUAGAUUACAAGCAAUGUCAGCGAUAAGUGAUGAUGAUCGAUGGUUACAAACAAGAUGCAAACAUUGGAGGUAGCUAAUGUAACAGUAAAACGAGAAAGUAUAGCAU